UUUUAAAGUCCCAUCUUAAUUCUCCAGAGAACCACUAAGAAAAUUGUAAAGAUAUGGAAAAACAAGGAAUAACAUGACUAUGAGUAUCUCUUCUCCUGCAACUCAGAAUUCAUGGUGAUCAAGUUCCUACUAAAACAAUAGGUUCUCUUCCUCAGGAUAUGAACUGGAAGUUCUCAAGAUUUCAUUGUUGGAAGCAUUAACAGGAAUAAUACCCCUGAUUUAGUCUGUUGUGUGCUGCUAUAACAGAAUUUCUGAGGUCGAAUAAUUUAUAUGAACAGAAGUUUAUUUUCUCAGGAUUCUGGUGGCUUGGAAUUCCAAGAUCAAGUCUCCAGUAUCUGGCAAGAGCCAUCUUGCUGUGUAAUCACAUGAUGGAAGGCAGAGAGGCAAAGAGUGUCUCUCUCCAGUAGAAUGUUGCAGAAAUUGGAAGACCUCCUAAAGCUUAGACUGAACUCAGAAUAUCACACACAUUCUAGUAAUCAAAGUAAGUCACAAGGCCAGCCCAGAUGCAAGGAAAGGAGAAGUGGACUCAACUUCUUGAUGGGAGGAGUGGUAAAGUCCCAUUGCUCAGGACAUGUGGAACAGGAAUGAUGCUUGCAGCUGUCUCUGGAAAUAAUCUAUCAGUUUUUCCUUGAGAAACUUAUUUAAUCACCUGAUUUCCCCUAGCUUUGUCUGCAAAGAAAAUAACUUCAUGCAUUGCUUAAUGAUGAGAAAUGGAUCGGUGGGUGAUUUUGUUGUGUUAACAUGGUAGUAUACUCACACAAACUGGGACCGUAGAGCCUACUACAUGCCUAGGUCAUAUGGUAUGGCCUAUUGCUCCUUGGCUACAAACCUG
rnacentral:lncRNA from 1 species